rnacentral:lncRNA from 1 species
CGAUAUUUUCACAGCGUCAAAACGAACCAACAAAAACAGCGCGUGAACGACUCCAAAACCACCUUAUACGCGCCUCACCUCUCCUCAUGCGAGAACAAGUAGUAGCAACGGUCACAAGAAAUACACGACAGAUUAUACGAUGUCAAAUUUUAUACUCGCUUUCUCCUUUUUGCUUUGCCAGAAGUCAUACAGCAGCGGUCAGUCGACUUGUUCAGUCUGCAGUUCACGUAUUCGUCCUUGGGGGCUGGGAGAUUGACCCACGUCGCGCCCUAAAGACGAUGGAAUUGAUUCCAGCCGUUCAACCCCCUCCCCCCCCUUUCCUCUUUUGAAGCGGGUUGAAUUCUCAAAGAAAAGGUGUUCAUCCUAAAAUGGUGAAAGAUUUUAAAAUUCGAAAUUGAAAUGGAUCUUUUCUCAUCUAAUUUCAUUCACUUUCCCCAAAAAUCAACUCUAGAUUUUCCCUCUCUAUAUAAGCGCCUGUUUUGCUCCAUUAGAGGGGUUGGAGAUUUUUGAUUGAAAAAAAAGGGGUGUUGAAGAAUUUUGUGUUGGUGAAAAUACAGGAAGUUAGCUAAGUGAUGAAAGAAAAAGAUAUAUUUAAGCCAAAGGUUUCCUAGAAAAUUUUCCGAUUCGGUCUUUCUGUCAUCUGUUUUGCUUUGUUGGUUCAAGUUUUUUUGGAGUCGUUCUUCGGUGUAGUAGUUGCUGUCCAUCUCUUCGCUCCAACCCAGUUCGCUGCCCACAAAAAGUUGGUUGCAUAUAAUAAGAGUUUGACAUAUGGAUUAAAACAUGAUGGCGGAUCUCUUUGCAAAGGAAGAUGGUAGAAAGAAAAAAAAUGAAGCAUAAUUUGAGAUUAUUUUUUCACUUUGAAUUGUAUUAGC